rnacentral:rRNA from 1 species
AGUCGAGGGGCAGCGGGGAGGUAGCAAUACUUCCGCCGGCGACCGGCGCACGGGUGAGUAACACGUAUGGAACCUGCCCGUAGCAGGGGGAUAAGCGGAAGAAAUUCCGUCUAAUACCGCGUAAUAACUCCGAGAGGCAUCUCAUGGGGUUUAAAGGGUGACACCGGCUACGGAUGGCCAUGCGGCGCAUUAGCUAGUUGGCGGGGUAACGGCCCACCAAGGCGACGAUGCGUAGGGGUUCUGAGAGGAAGGUCCCCCACACUGGUACUGAGACACGGACCAGACUCCUACGGGAGGCAGCAGUGAGGAAUAUUGGUCAAUGGGCGCGAGCCUGAACCAGCCAAGUCGCGUGAGGGAAGACGGUCCUAUGGAUUGUAAACCUCUUUUGCCGGGGAGCAAAAGACGCCACGUGUGGCGUUCCGAGAGUACCCGAAGAAAAAGCAUCGGCUAACUCCGUGCCAGCAGCCGCGGUAAUACGGAGGAUUCAAGCGUUAUCCGGAUUUAUUGGGUUUAAAGGGUGCGUAGGCGGUCGGAUAAGUUAGAGGUGAAAUCCCGGGGCUCAACUUCGGAAUUGCCUCUGAUACUGUUCGGCUAGAGAGUAGUUGCGGUAGGCGGAAUGUAUGGUGUAGCGGUGAAAUGCUUAGAGAUCAUACAGAACACCGAUUGCGAAGGCAGCUUACCAAGCUACUUCUGACGUUGAGGCACGAAAGCGUGGGGAGCAAACAGGAUUAGAUACCCUGGUAGUCCACGCAGUAAACGAUGAUAACUCGUUGUCGGCGAUACAAUAUCGGUGACUAAGCGAAA